UAAAGUGCAACAGCUAGCUAAGAUCUUCAUAUUAUAUAUAGCAGAUUCAGGAGACAUGAAAUUGCCCUAGAAUUUGCAUGCAGCAGCAGCUGUUAACUUACAUCAACCAUAAUACAUAACCAGAUGGUAUGGAGUUCCGUUAUUCUAAAACUGUAAUCUAUAUUAUUCUAUAUACAUAAUUACGCAUAGGUAGAGCUAGAACCAUACAUUAGAGAUGAAGAACGGUUCCAAAAAAUUUCUAAAAUCAAUAAUAAUCUUUGGUAUGUAUGCGAUUAUAAAUUCAGUGCACUAACUAGACAAGCUAGCUAACAGCCACAUAAAUCAAGCUGGGGAUGCUACGGAUUUAGAUAAUUCCUCGCCCUUUUUGCUUUCAUCCGUCACUGCUACUCGAGGUCCUAGCUUCAACAGUUCUGGCAAGACUUUGGAUUUUGAUAAUUCCUCAUCAUCGGCGUUAUCUCCAUCAUCUUUCACUCGAGGUUCUAGCUUCAAUAAUUCUUCUUCCGAAGGACCGGAACCAUUCCAAGCCUCACGUCUAAUACCAUUCUUUUGUUGAACACAAGGACCAUAAGCCCAACU
rnacentral:lncRNA from 1 species